UUCUUCUCGGAGCCGGAGUGAACUUGAAUUCGCGUGUUUGCAUUAGUUUUUUGAAGUGCUGUUGGGGCUGGGGCUGCGUGAUCGUCACUGGCGUCCUCCAGAGUGCCCACCGAUCGGAAAGUCGUACGUACCGCAAGCUUUGAACGUCUCUUUAUCGCACCAUCGAAAGCGGCGGCACGGGAGGCGCAAUGCGAGCUCCGGUGGGAACAGCAGCCCUUUGUCUCGUAAUGCCCGCAACUGAGGGACAUAGUAGGAAGUGGAGCUGUAAGUAAAUUGUUAUUUUAGUUGGGGCAGCCAGCUGUGGGGAUUCUAGACAAUGUGAUUCUGGGCACAUCCAUUAUCGUACAAAUUGAGCGUACAUAUUCAUUGAGGCUGGCACAGAGAGCAAUAUUCCCGAAUACACUCCAAACGUAAUAACUGCGGACAGAAGCUUCACCAGACGUGCGUUUUAAUAUCAAGGGAAAACACCUAGGGAAACCUAUGAAGCUUUCAUCAUCUACAUGAAGGGAGAGACUUGCGCCAGCCCGCCUUCGACCACACUCGUAAAGAAACUGCUCUACCUGAAAUCUUAAGUUCUUUUCUCUCAGAAAUUGUCUGACUUUUGUUUUUUGGGUGUCAUUAAUCUUUCCGUUCUUUCUUGACAGAACUUAUUGCACAUGCUCAUAAAACCACUUUCAAUUGGUAGUAUCAGCAUGUGUUCUGUCAUUUGUGUUGUUUGCACUGCUUUGCGUUUUCCUUGUUUCUAUGAUGCCUACUAAACAUUUCAUUUGGCCCUUUACAAUAAGUUACCUCUGAAUUGGAGCACAAUAUUAUUUUAUUGUUCAUGCAACUCUCGGGACUCCUGGAAGGUAGCCUUGCGCUACAAAUUCAAGAAUCAGUGAAGGGUUCUCCCUAGUGAUGGUCGCGUGGGUGAGAACUGCACAAAGUUUGGGUCACGCAGGAAGGGCAGUGAAGAAACAGCCACAGUGGAGCUCCAGUGGCACAAAGUGCAAAAGAUCGUGGGGGGCAUUCCGCAGUAAAAUACAAUAUGUUGAUUUGUUUAUCAAGGAUGACGUGUAGCAAGCUAAUGGUGACCGUAGUAUUUUCAUUUGCUAAUGCUUUCAACUGUUUCUAAUUUUCACUGAGUAGAAGCACUCAGAAUUAAUUCCUGUCUUUUUAGUGCUCUCUGUUUUGAGGUGGUAUCAAAGUAUUUUGGAUUCGUGAUUCAAUUUAGGCUGGCCAAAUAUUUAACAAAUCAAUUUAGCUAGGCAAAACUAAAUACCAUAAAUCAGAAAGACCAAUUGCAACAAAAUGCAAGGAUACAGUUGAAACGAGGCCUUUGGGGUACUAACAAAGUUGUUUGGUGCUCGACCACAGUCCUUUGUGGGUUUGCUGCCUCUCUAGCAGGUGGGAACAAGGCCAUAUGUUAAUCCACCUAAUUAGCUAUUUUCAUGGCUGACGAAAUCCUAUGUAGUUGUGUGUUGGUGUAAAUGUAUCACAUAAAAAGGAUUGUAAAUGAGGCCGUUAACUUUUGACAAUACCUCUUGAACAUUACUUAAAUAUUUCCUUGCAUAGUGCCGGUGUAUUUAUGCUGCAAUGAGCUAUAUUGGUGUUGCUUCCCUCAGGACGUUGCUAUCUCUACAGUAGCCGGAGACGAAACAAGUUUUGCAAUGCACACGGACUGGCUCAGUUGUGAAUGUCACAAACGCUCCCCUAACAAGGCUCAAAUCAAUGAAAGGAUGGCCUUGAUAAAUAAUAUUCAUGAGGCGAAGAGGAAGUACCCAUACAUGAUGAGCUUUGAGAGUUGCAGUUCGGACGCAUCUUUUUUUGCAAUUUUGCAGUGACGUUGCAAGACUGACUAAGAUUGACCCAUCACCUUGUAUUGCAAAAGGGAUCAACAAAAUUGUGAAAAUGGCAGAAAUGAAACACAUCCCUUGCGAAGCAAGUGUAAUGGCAUCACUUCAAAAGGCUCGUGAGAUGUCACCGGAGAGGCUGCGAACACGACGACCCGAGCGUUCCUGCAACCUCUUGCAUCGUAUUUUCUGGAGAAGACGUUGAAGAGGCUGACCUCCACAUCAAGGUGGACCGCGAGAUGUUGUUUGCAGUGAAAAAUGGGGAGAGGGGCUGGGGGCGGCUGUUUUAUCUGCUUACUGGCUCUUCAAUAUUCAGUACGACCGCAAGCUGUUCAACACUCUUGUCGUGUUGGAGCGCCUUUUCCUUGGGCUCACAUUGAGUACCCCUAGAGUGGUUGCUACAAAGUUCUUGAACAGUCUCCAAAAGUGUGCCAUGUUGAAUGUACUGAAGCUGUGCAUUGUUACCUCAUCAUGAGUUUAGCUGUAAUUUUUAGAUGCACGUUUUGUUUUGUCUAACCAUUUCUGCAAUACAUAUGAAGGAAACCAACAGUCACCGAGAACAAGGCAAGCUUAUGGCGACGCUAUUCGUUUUUUUUAAUUUGCAGUGUUAGUAAUUGGAAAUUAUUAGUGUAAUUAUUUUCAGAUGUGGUUAGUUGGGAUCCCACUGGCCGCAUGUGACUUUCUGCUUUCUGAUCAUUUACCUGUCAGCCAUAAAAUGUUUGCACUAACAAUUUUCUAUUGUCAGCACCACAAAUUGUUAAAACUUACAAGCAUUCUCCAUGGUGGCAUUCCUUGGUCACGGUCACUGUUGGCAUUUUUCAUAUGCACUGCAGAAAGGGUUAAACUAUUCAACACUCCUUUCUUAUCUAAAUGUUACAGGUAAACUGUCUUUUGUAUUACAUCAUUAGCUCUUUUUAACUUUCAAUAACUAAGCAAGAUUCUAGUCGUAAAAAAAUAAUAGCUCUAGAAGGUUGAUACGUACUUCUGGCUUAUUACAUAGUCACGAAAGCUGAUCUCAUAUACUGUUGUGGUAGGUCAGCGGAGUAUACACGAUGCUGCGGAUCAUUUCCUAUAUGCAAAGUUAGCAACUGUUCUUUUUGAAGUUGUAUGCUGCAUUAAAAUAGGUCAGGUGAUA